AAUAAAAAAUGCCACAUCAACACAAGUUAUGAUUGUCAUUACUUAUUUCUGACCUGCUUCAACAAGCAUUUCGUGUUGAAGAAGCAGAAAGACAAGCACCUGCACAAAUGUAGAUUUAGUUAUUUCGUGUGUGUUUUGUUGCCAUUUUUGCUUUUUGUAGUCUGUAUACUCGUUUGUGGACUUUUACCCUCAGAUCAUCACCAUGGCAAACUGCAGUCUGGCCCGUGUUGUGCUCAUGUUGGUUGGAUUUAUUGUCUUUUUACCAGCAAUCAUAAUCAACACUCUCUCCAGAUUUGGUUCCAAAUCAGGUUUCUUCAAGCAGAGCACAGAGGAUGUGAUUCUCAAGUACACAACACCCAUAACUCCUGCUCAUUGGACUUUUUUUGUGUGGGAUUUCAUGCAUCUCUGGCUUCUUGCCAUAUAUAUAUACUUUUUAGUUGGGCUCUGCAGAAGGAGAGCUUAUGGCUGGAUGUACACUACGCCUGCAGUGCUGCCCUAUGGAUUUCAUGUCUCUGUUAUUGUCAACUGUUUCUUGAAAACUACAUGGCUGUUUCUGUUUGACAGAGAGAUGUUACUGCCAGCGCUGAUAACUUCAGCACUAAUGAUGCUCACUGAUUACAUGAUCCUAUUUUUCUCCUGUCAAGGACUGAAGAUCUAUGGAGCCUGGUUGUACAAAUAUUACAACGUGGACCUCUGGGUCUUCAGAAUACUGGUGCAGAAUGGAGUGGCGGUACACGCAGCAUGGGGGACCCUCAGCACCUUGCUGAACCUGACGAUAUACUUACAGCACCAGACAGAAACACCCAGAUGUGACUGUGCAAUGCUGGCGCUGCUGCUGCUUCUGAUGGAGCUGUUAGCCUGGUUUCUGUUAGAGAACUUCUACUUUGAUGAGCAUGUGCGUUACAUCGUGACCAUCUACCCUGUGGUAAUCAUUUGGCAAACAGGCAUCCUGAACAACUCUGCCUCUCCCAACAGUGACAUGUUUAUCUUUGCAGCUUUGAUCCUGGCUAUUUCCUGCAUUGUGUUUGUGGCACACAUUGCUCUGGUCACAUGGAAGCAUCACAAAAGGCCGCUUUACAAAGACAGUGGACUCAGUAUGUCUCCAGUAGAAAUAGCCUUGACACAAAGGAAACUCUUUCUAUGAAUAUUAGCUUAGAGGGCUGAUGUCUUGGUGUUUGUACAGCAGUGGUCAAUGGUUUUACUUGUCAGGACUUUUUUUCAACAGGAUUUUUCAGAACAGCAAUGUCAGUUAAUUUAAAAAAUGCAGUAUCACAAUUGUGCUACUCUUGUAUAAAAACUAAAUGUACGUUUUUUUUUUAAUAAUAAAGAAAAAGAUAGUGAAUGAUUGGUGUUUAAAAUUCAUUUGUAGGGACUAUUAGGGACAUAAAUCUAAUAUUUUUACACUGAAAAAAAAUUAUCCUGACGAAAGGUUGGAUUGAUAAGAUUAUUAAGAGAGCGAACUAUUAGCAACAUGAUUCAAUAAGAUAAAUAUUUUGAGA
ensembl:lncRNA